AUUAAGAUGUCUGACUAAAGUAAUAAAUUGUAAAUUUAUUUAAGAAUUAACUAUUCUCUUAAUA
rnacentral:tRNA from 2 species